AGCCAGCGCCGAGCGGUGAGGCCGAGCGGUGAGUCCGCCCGGCCGCCCCGGGGCCGCUGCGCCGGGACCGCGCCGGGAGCCGCGGAGCGCCCGGCCCCGGGGCUGAGGCGCGAUGGCCCACAGCCGGUCACGGAAGCGAUCACGGAGCAGGAGCAAAAGCAGUUCCCGGAGCAGACAGGAGAGGAAGGAGAAGAAAAGGAGGAAAAGCAGCAAGGACUCACACCAGGGCAGCAGCUCUCCUCUGCAGGAGCGAACCUCUGGGUGUCACAGCCACAAGUGGAGCUCUGUGGGAGGAAAGAAGAAGGAAAGAAAGGAAAAAAAGAAGAGGAAGGCAAGUACCUCUUCCUCUGAGACAUCAUCCAGCACCUCCUCCUCAUCUUCCUCUUCCUCCAGCUCCUCUUCUGCUGAUUCCAGUGACAGUGACUCCAAAACAAAGAAGAGUCGACACAGCAAAAAAAAGCAAAGGAAACAGAGAGAGAAAAAGAAGAAGAAAAUAAAGAAGAAAGCAAAAAAGAAGUCAAAGGAAAGGGGUAAGGAGGAGAAAGCCAAGGGAGAAGUGGUGCCUGGCCCCUCGCUGGAGCAGUGGCAGAAGGAGUCACUGGUGGACUCAGGACCAGUUUUGACAGAUGAACAGAAAUCCCGAAUCCAGGCCAUGAAGCCCAUGACGAAGGAGGAAUGGGACGCGAGGCAGAGCGUCAUAAGGAGAGUCGUGGAUCCAGAGACAGGGAGAACCAGGCUUAUCAAAGGAGAUGGAGAAGUACUAGAAGAGAUUGUCAGCAAGGAGAGACACAAGGAGAUUAACAAGCAAGCCACCCGAGGGGACGGGCUGGCCUUCCAGGUGAGGACGGGGAUGCUGCAGUGAGCGCCCACAGCAGCCCCUGCGCUGGCCCAUGCGGACGGCACCGCGCCAGGACGCUCCCCAGGGGCACUUCCAGCUGCUCUAGUUUUGCCUCAUCUGACUGAUCUGGCAAAGGCAGGAAAAAAACCCAACCAACCCCAGCGCCGGGCGGGAGGGAGCGCACGGGCUCCUCUCGUGAAAAGGCUUGAAGGGGACGGCGUCGGGUAGAAAGUCUGGCCCCGAGAGUGCUGUAAAUACAAAAAGCUGCUCGCUGUAAAAAAAUCUGGAGCUCCAGAGCAGAGUUUGAUUCCCAUGGAAAGGAGUUUUUGAAGAAAGCCAAAGGCCGAGGCAGCGUGUGCAGCGCUGGGCUGCGCUUGUGCUCGUGUGUGAGAGCGCGACGGGGGCUGCGGGGGACCAAGGACCGCGACGCUUCAUACCCUUCCCUUCCAAAGCAACCACCUUCUUUGUACCAAAAGAGAAAGGAUGAAGGUCUGUGAGCUGACAGUGCCCCUUUAGGAUGGAUGGAACAUACAUUCAUCUUUUAUCCCCCUCAACUGCGUCCAAAGAGGUGGAAAGGCAUCGGGUCACAUGCAUUGCUCUCCAAACGGCUCGGAACAAACAUCAUAAACACAGAGUUCAACUAUUGCUAUUGUUGUGUGAGUGAGCGAGUGGCACGUGGCUCUCUGCUUGGGAUAGCUGAGUGCCAGACGGGGGCGGCUGAGGAGAGAUGGAUGCACGCUGGGAUGGACUGAACCUGACUGGCUUUAGUUCCUGGUAACUCCCUCCCCCCCUCACCUGGUAUUAUUGCAGCAAAUUAAAGGUCCUGCUCUACGAUUGCUUCUCCUUGUCGGAUCUGUACAAUGGCAACAGAUGGGGGGGGCCAGGGAAAGGACCCCGGGCGACGUUCAAGAAGCUCAAACAAAGGAUGAGGACGGAGGUGCAAUGAUUGUCAGUCUAAAGGGGUCGGGAGCUGUUCAGAACACGCAGUGAUGGAGAGGUGAGUAGAAUAUUGCACUUCUGCAUUGACAGUUACAUUAAACUUGGUCCAUAAAAGAAUUGCUUUGUACAUAAUGCCUGAAACAAAAAGCUACAUUUUUAAAUAUUAAUAAACCCUGAAGGUUCCAGUCCCUCCAGACAUUAUAUAUAUGGUUUUAACCCUCCCUCUACAUAAAUAAAUAACUUUCAGUUUUAUAUACCCACAUCUUA